GACGAACGCUGGCGGCGUGCCUAAUACAUGCAAGUAGAACGCUGAAGGAGGAGCUUGCUUCUCCUGAUGAGUUGCGAACGGGUGAGUAACGCGUAGGUAACCUGCCUGUUAGCGGGGGAUAACUAUUGGAAACGAUAGCUAAUACCGCAUAACAGUAGAUGUUGCAUGACAUUUGCUUAAAAGGUGCAAUUGCAUCACUACCAGAUGGUCCUGCGUUGUCUUAGCUAAUUGGUGAGGUAACGGCUCACCAAAGCGACGAUACAUAGCCGACCUGAGAGGGUGGUCGGCCACACUGGGACUGAGACACGGCCCAGGCUCCUACGGGGGGCAGCAGUAGGGGAUCUUCGGCAAUGGAGGGAAGUCUGACCGAGCAAAGCCGCGUGAGUGGAGAAGGGUUUCGGAUCGUAAAGCUCUGUUGUAAGGGGAGGACGAGUGGGGGAGUGGAAAGUUCACACUGUGACGGUAUCUUACCAGAAAGGGACGGCUAACUACGUG
rnacentral:rRNA from 1 species